UAUAUACAAAUUUAUACGCAUAUUAACUGGAUUUAACUAAAUAAACAUUUCGAAAUGUUAGAGUAAAGUUGAAAAUCUUUAAUUAAAGCCCUAUUAAGCAAACAAACGAGCUGCUAAUUAAUUAAUUUGUAAUGCUUAAUAAAAUUGUCAUUAAUUAUAAUUUCAGUGCCCCACAAGGAAAUUAAGCGUACAAAAUGUUGUGCAUCAAAAUAUAUUGGACACAAAAUAAAAAUAAAACUAACCGUUUGAGACAUUUAGUUGAAAUACUUGUCCGAAGCAUUUCGCAACGAUACGUGAGAGACCAUUUCACGCAAUUCUUCAAAGCCUUAAUAAUGGCCGUAGCCGAACAUCUGACAAUACUUCGGUAUAAUUGCUUUUUAAUUAUGCACGAUAAGUAAGAGCACUAGACAGAAGGCACUCAAAGCUCUUGAAGACGCACUAAUUGAAUUCAUCAAUGUAAUACGCCAUUUUCCCUUGCAGGCUUCCGACAAAACACAUUUCGCCACGUUGAUGGUGUUCUUUUGAUUCUGUAGUUGGUGUUCUAUAACAUUGUUCCCCUCGAUAGGAAUCCCAUUGACCUCUCGCAGAUUGCGUUCUUUUCGAAAUUGGUCAUGGGCCGUUGGAGAGUGAGCCAUAUGUGCUUCGAGCGCCCCAGCACUACGUCAUCAUCAUCGGAGCACUGUACAGGCAAAAACAAACCAAAACCGGUACUGUGUAGCGUUCUUGAAGCCAGCGAGCCACGUGCUGAUCCUAAAUUUAUACCGCCAAAAACGUAAGAAUAACGAAAAAGUAAGCUUGAACUGGUUUUUCGACUGGACUCCGAUUUUACGAAGCAAGAAGAGGGGAAUCAAUCUUAAGCUAUGCCUAUUCUUGAACAAUACGUUCUGAAGUAAGUCCAACAUAUACAAAAUUGGAUACAACGCCAAGGCCACAUUCGGCGCUCUUUAACGAAUCUAAUCUUGCCUUUGCGCAAUAUGUACAGAUACAUAUUGCUUGAUUCAAGUCGAAAGCUAUUAUCAGAAUUUCAUCUGUCAGCAUUAAGAUAUGAAAUAAAGCCAAAAGAAUCUAAUUGCCUCAAACAAUGUAUAUUCUACUGGUAUAUACACAGGCAUACUAUAGUAUUGUUUUUUCCAUUGAAUUUAGUCCGUAUGAAUUGCGGAGCGAUUUAUCUAUUUUAAUUUAUCUAUUUUAAAUAUUAGAUGGCAAACGUCAUGCCCGCUUUUGCUCAGACCUUGGUUGCUGCCGGAACUUUUGUUGGGUUCAUCUAUUAACGAGCUAUAUAACAGCCGCUUACUUUGCAAUUCGGAUAUGUAAUUAUGGAAAUGGGGCUAUACAGAGAAUAAAUAAUGUACGUGAUGUAGAUCUAGCCGCAGAAAGAUUGAAAACUAGUUUUACUACACAGCUACCGAAUGAUAAUUUUGUGAUCCAAUGAAAUUCUCUGGUUGCUUUUGUCUUCUGAACACCAACCAGAUAACGAUGUUAAUGUUCCAUCAAGGAUUGAUACCAAAACAGCAACAGUCCAUGGGGGUCGAGGGAAGCUCUAGGUAGGGAGCUCCGCGGUUCCAACCUCUUUUAUUAGACAUGGUAAGUCAAAACUGCGGUUGUGGCAAACACACCAUCUAACUGUACUUCCACACCGUGGCCGAGAGUCGGAUCAGUGGAGCAGAGAAACGCAGCAUGCCGCGUCGGCACGUCGCGAUUCAUUGCCAGGGCUCCAUUAGCACCUCAUUGACAGGCGGAGAGGCUCGGGUUACGCGCAUCCCAGAAGUCAGGGAAACUCAACUGCUCUUGGAUGCAAUGCAUAAGUGAAUGCCAGGCCGGCCUAGAUGCCGCGUCGCGUGCUGCACUCAUUACAUAUCUCAGCGCUAGAACUUGGCCCUCGAUCCCAAGUCGGCCUUCGUGGCUUAUAAGCACCAUUCUCAAGUGUUUAUUGAGCUCUCGGCAGUAAGUUUCGACAGCCCAUCAAUUAUGGUCGAACAUUGCUCAUCCGCCCAGUGAUGACAUGAUGCCUUCAAUUUGAUGGACACAAGUGCUAUUAACAAAAAGUCUACCGAAUGUUCCUCGUCUUUUGAGCCCCGUUUUUAAGUUUUUUUAGUGCCCAGCAAGAAAGUGUCCAUAUUUGUCACUUUCAAGGGUGGCCGCUAGCCCACUUUGACCCAAGCGCUCAUUUGUUAUUUGAUCCUUUCGUCCCAACAGGCUUCCCCGUUUCAGUCGGUAAUUAACUGGCAAUUUGCAUUUUGACCCUUCAGACCAUCGCUAUUGUUUACUCUAGAAAAUUUGUGCCAUCUUUCCUUGCUUAGUACCAGUACUCCUUCGUUUUAGUACGCUGCUCUGUUCGACUAAAUUGAAAGGGGGCUCUGCCCCAAAUACCCGGCCAUUUGUUAUAAUGGAAGAAUGUUUCCAUUUGCAGCAAAUUUAAGCUCGUGCGAUUCUCAGUGUCACUUUCAAUUUCUAGCAAUUUAGUUCGCGUUCGCAGUUAGUCUAAUGUGUGUCUCUGUUUUCUGUUCUGGUUUGCUGCGCUUCCGUCGAUGAGGUCAGCAGAUACAUACUAAUCCAUGUUGUGCAUAAAGUUCGGCUCAUAAGCGCAGCAUUUUGGCUUAAUAAAAGUCCACAGCACUUCAAUUAUUGUAGGAACUCACUCCCAUACCGGUUUCUAGAAAAUUACUCACAUUGCAAAAUGCAAUGCUAUUAUCUGCUCUAGAGACAAAAAAUAUCCUCUCGAACAUCCACAGCUGCAAGCGAAUGCAAAUGGAAUGCUGUGACCCAGACGAAGUGAAAGCAAUUUGCAAAACUAUUUUGUUCAACAAUGAAAACACGACAAUGUAGAGCACGAUUAGAACAAACACGAAAGCAAUGGAAGGGGACUGCAGGUGAUGCUCCUGUUCAGGAGUCACUACAGUGGACUCCUUCGGCCGCGCCUGUUCUAAUUAGCGAAUUCCAAUUAUCAUUCCACUCCCAGUUCCUUCCUGCAGCGUCGGAAUUUUAGAGCGGGUAAUUUUAUAAUUCAGUCCGGGUGAAGUCACUGCAUUUCUAAUUAAGGUUUGCCAGCCAUCAUCGCCGAUGAUCUGCGAGAUACGAACGCCAGGGUAGCGGGAGCUAAAAAUGUGUGUCAGACACUUGACAUUAAACAUUAAAUGAAAUGAAAUUGCCGACGCUCCAUGUUUGGCAUCUAUUGCUGAUGACAUCGUUUGACAACUCUCCAUGGAUGCGAGCGAGCACCUAAUGACCUGUAACUGCUCUCCACUGGAAAGCUGUGCUUCUGCGCUGCGUGGGUGAAGUGGGUCGUUGGUGUUCUUGCGGUCGAAGUCGUUUGUCGGAGGGUGUACUGUACGGUGAUACGGGGCGUUAAACGCGAUAAGCGAUGUUCCCCAUGUUCGCUAUGACAACCUUCUCCACAAAGUGAAAAAUCCACGCAGUCUGAUUGCCUUACAGUAGGUCAGAGCCGAGAAAAAUGGAAAACACUCAACCCAUUGUCUUUAUUAAGGCGUAGAGCCGCACUCAAAUAAUCGAAUGCAAUGCAGAACAUGGUGACACUCAACCAAGUCACUAGAUAGAUGUCCACAGCUUUUGGAUUCUUCUUUCGAGAGGAUCAGCAAAAAAAGUACUUAGUGAUUCAAAUUAUUUUCGCACGAAAAAGAAAUAAAUGCAAAUAGCAAUAAAUGAAAGCAAUAAAUGUUGUAGCGACGGAGGAGCUCAGAAAGCGCACGAACAAACAAACCCCGAAAGGCAGACGCACUAAAAAUACAAAUUUUGCCCAACAAAUAUAAAUAAAAAACUGGAACUAAGUGGUGAGGAGAAAGAAGUGAGAGACAGGGCUCGCCAAUUCUCAGACAAGGUAAAUAAAGCGAACGACCCCCGGAGCCACGAAAACCCAAGCUGAUCUCACAGCUCGGAUAAGUGUCUCACAGAAAGAGGAAAGCGUUUGUCUAUGUUGUAAGCUUGAAGUCGUCAUCCUACACCGAAAGAAAAACAUAAAAUCGUAAUGUCACUUUUUUGGUAACCAAAAAAAUUCAAAACAUUUACAUAUAUUCUAAAAGUACAGGUGCUGCUGGUCCGGACUAAGCUUGUAUUUUGUAGAAUAUCGUGCCCAUUUUUGCAUAUUUUUUUUCUCUGCAAGUUCUGGCAGUAGUAACCGUCGACGGAGACGUCGCCACUGCUUGUAGUUCAAGGUGCACUGGUGAGUUGUUGAGAGGCUGACAGGCAUGCGGGUGCAGUGGAGACUGGUUGGCACAGACGACGCUUUGGGGCAAGCAGCAGGGUCUAUGCUCCCGAGGGCGCACUGCUGACCAAUUUCUACAGUCCGCCAAGUACAGGCACCAAGUCAUUCCGUAUGAGCACUGUAAAUUGACAAUGAUUGCCCACAAUUUGCUCAACACAAAACGCCACAGAAUCGAGCAAGAAAGUCUGGGAAACCCAGUUGAACCGAGAUGCAAAUACAAAACGCGCUGCGAGCAGUUACAGAUAUCCCACUGCAGAUAGAGACGCAAGUGCUGGAAUCGCAGCUACUUUAUGGGUAUGUCUCUAUCUGCGACUUGUUUUCAGUUUGCCGGGAAGCCGUCUCAUAACUCUGGCCACUUAAGUUGUGGGGCAGCCUCGUCCGGUGGGGGAUCACAAAUCAUCGCGGGUACCGCGGAGGGUUUCUGAACCGCCGGUAGGGCAUCUUUCUUAGCGAAUAUCCUGUCGUCGUCCUUCCUAAUUGACCGCUCAUGUUAGGCAGGCAUCACACCGGCAACGAGCAUUUCACUUGAGCCUCUAAAUACUAUAUCCUAUAUCCAAUCCUAUAGAUCCUUAGAUGGAUUGAACAACGCAAAAAUAGUGCGACUAUUUGGCUUUUCCAACUGACUCUGGAGUAAUACAUAUUUUAACAAAUUGUAAUUGUAAAAUUGAGUAAACCAACCAAGCAAGCUUGCACAUGGUAAUCUAUCACUGGAGCCGACACUAUCGACGCUAAAUCUCAUGUGCCUGAUGCGAUUACAUUUUUGGGCACAACAAACUGAUAGUUAUGAACUCCAAGUGCCGGGCGAGACGGGGGAAAAUGGGGUACCGUUAGCCACGACUUGAGCCGGGCUAAUUGCAACGUAUGCCAGUGUGCUAUAUGUGUGGUGCAAGUAAACCAGUUUGCCGCGUUCAGCUAUCCGCUCAAAGUCAACAAGCGUAAUCUUCACUGCACGUGGGGCAACUAUCCACAGAGGAGGCCGAAUUCGAAAAUCCGCUAGAACAAAGAGGCCGCCAAAGGAAAUGGAGGCUUAUGAGCGGAAAAUGCAAUUGUGCGCUCGAGCAAUGUCAGGAGGAUGUGGUCAUGGAUUAGAAGCCCUAAGCUUAAAGCGAACUCGGCUACAUUCUACCUGGCCACACCUCCCCGUUCGCUCAUCGAUAUUGGAACGCGUGCUGUUUUGCAUCAGCCAGUUUGCGUCCCGUUUCAUACACUAAUGAAUGACUAUAACCAUCAAGCUCCAGGAUCAUAAAAUAAAUUAGCUAAUUAAUGGCCAGGCCAAUAAAAAA
rnacentral:sRNA from 1 species